GCUUCAAACCCUGGGGGGGGCAGGAACCGGGUUCGAUCCCCUU
rnacentral:tRNA from 9 species